ensembl:lncRNA
GUUUUAAUGUCUUCAGAGAGAUUCACUUACUGAGGUAAGAAAACCAAACGCUGAAGCUUGGACUCACAGUGGAAAAUGAAAGUAAAUCAGCCGUGGUGCUCAGUGGGAACAUCUGGCGUUCGAAACUUUUCAGAGGAUAAACGCGUUAAAUAUCCGAAAGGUGCUUAAAGUUGUUUGAGAGAAGCAUAGCAGUAAGUAAAACGGCCUCCAGAGCAUUAAUUUGAGCUGAAAUGUAAAGAAAGACGCAGCAGCGGGGAUUCCCCAGUAGACUGAGCACAGACAACACAACGACCUCUGUCUCUUUUACUUUAAAUACAUUUAACGCACAAUUAACGUUGUUUUUACGGUUUCAUAGCAGUAUAGUAGCGGCAAAGAUAAAGUUCACGUGUACCUAUCAUUAGCAUGUGCUGUGUAUGACGCCCCACUGUGUGCUGUAACUGUGCGCACACACCUAGAAAUGUACAGUCUUGUUCUUUUGAUGAUAACGGGAUGAUUGAUCCGAAAUACUUUACUUUUAGUUAUGAUUUCCUAAUGCGUUGUAGAAGUUGGAUUUGUUAUUAAAGCUCUGCCUAUAGUUUUGUUUUUCUUUUUUUCUUUUUUUACAUGUAUUACUAUAUAUGCUACAGACUUUGGGGGAAAGCACGGUGGCACGGUGGUUAGCACUGUUGCCGCACAGCAAGAAGGUCCUGAGUUCAAUUCCACCAUCAGGCCGGGGUCUUUCUGUGUGGAGUUUGCAUGUUCUCCCCGUGUUUGCGUGGGUUCCCUCCGGGUACUCCGGCUUCCUCCCACCGUCCAAAGACAUGCAGUUUGUGGGGAUAGGUUAAUUGGAAAAUCCAAAUUGUCACUAGGUGUGAAUGUGAGUGUGAAUGGUUGUCUGUCCUUGUGUGUUAGCCCUGUGACAGACUGGCGACCUGUCCAGGGUGUACCCCGCCUCUCGCCCUACGACAGCUGGGAUAGGCUCCUGAAAAGGAAAAGCGGUAGCGGAUGGAUGGAUGGACUUUGGGGGAAAGCAUGUUAUGGUGUCAGAGAUAGUAAGGGUAGAUGAGUUUAAAAACCUGGGGGCAACCAUUGAAAGCAA